rnacentral:rRNA from 1 species
GAUGAACGCUGGCGGCGUGCCUAAUACAUGCAAGUCGAGCGAAUGGAUUAAGAGCUUGCUCUUAUGAAGUUAGCGGCGGACGGGUGAGUAACACGUGGGUAACCUGCCCAUAAGACUAGGAUAACUCCGGGAAACCGGGGCUAAUACCGGAUAACAUUUUGAACCGCAUGGUUCGAAAUUGAAAGGCGGCUUCGGCUGUCACUUAUGGAUGGACCCGCGUCGCAUUAGCUAGUUGGUGAGGUAACGGCUCACCAAGGCAACGAUGCGUAGCCGACCUGGGAGGGUGAUCGGCCACACUGGGACUGAGACACGGCCCAGACUCCUACGGGAGGCAGCAGUAGGGAAUCUUCCGCAAUGGACGAAAGUCUGAUGGAGCAACGCCGCGUGAGUGAUGAAGGCUUUCGGGUCGUAAAACUCUGUUGUUAGGGAAGAACAAGUGCUAGUUGAAUAAGCUGGCACCUUGACGGUACCUAACCAGAAAGCCACGGCUAACUACGUGCCAGCCGCCGCAGUAA